rnacentral:rRNA from 1 species
GGUUAAGCGACUAAGCGUACACGGUGGAUGCCCUGGCAGUCAGAGGCGAUGAAGGACGUGCUAAUCUGCGAUAAGCGUCGGUGAGGUGAUAUGAACCGUUAUAACCGGCGAUUUCCGAAUGGGGAAACCCAGUGUGUUUCGACACACUAUCAUUAACUGAAUCCAUAGGUUAAUGAGGCGAACCGGGGGAACUGAAACAUCUAAGUACCCCGAGGAAAAGAAAUCAACCGAGAUUCCCCCAGUAGCGGCGAGCGAACGGGGAGGAGCCCAGAGCCUGAAUCAGUGUGUGUGUUAGUGGAAGCGUCUGGAAAGGCGUGCGAUACAGGGUGACAGCCCCGUACACAAAAAUGCACAUAUUGUGAGCUCGAUGAGUAGGGCGGGACACGUGGUAUCCUGUCUGAAUAUGGGGGGACCAUCCUCCAAGGCUAAAUACUCCUGACUGACCGAUAGUGAACCAGUACCGUGAGGGAAAGGCGAAAAGAACCCCGGCGAGGGGAGUGAAAAAGA